CGCGAAAACUCCACAAUGCGCGAAAGCGUGAUGGGGUUAACCCGAGUGCCGUCCGAUGAGGAUGGCUUUUCUUCAGUUUAAGGAUCUGGAGGAAUAAAGGGGGGGCAAGACUGGUGUCAGCCGCCGCGGUAAUACCAGCCCCCUGAGUGGUAGGGACGAUUAUUUGGCCUAAAGCGUCCGUAGCCUGUUUGGGAAUUCUUUCAUUAAAUCCGACUAUUCCGUCGUUGGGACCCGGAAUAUACUGCCACACUUGAGGACGGGAGAGGUCAACGGUUCUCCUAGGGUAAGGGUGAAAUCCUAUAAUCCUAGGAAGACCACCAGUGGAAAAGGCGGUCGACUAAAAGGUGCCUGACGGUGAUGGACAAAAGCUGGGGGAGCGAACCAGAUUAUACCCCCGGGUACUCCCAUCUGUAAACUAUGCGAGCUAUGUGUUGGAGCGACUACGAGUUGCUCCAGUGCCGCAGAGAACUUGUUAAGCUCGCCGCCUGGGAAGUACGGCCGCAGGGCUGAAACUUAAAAGAUUUGGCGGGAGAGCACAG
rnacentral:rRNA from 1 species